GGGAUUGUGGCUCAGUGGUAGAGCGCGCGUCUAGCACUUGCAAGGCCCUGGGUUUGAUCCUCAGCACCA
rnacentral:tRNA from 1 species